rnacentral:miRNA from 9 species
UGGGAUAAUUGGUCGGCAUUGUG